rnacentral:rRNA from 1 species
UACGGGGGGGGCAAGCGUUGUUCGGAAUUACUGGGCGUAAAGGGCCUGUAGGCGGCCAACUAAGUCCGACGUGAAAUCCCCAGGCUUAACCUGGGAACUGCGUCGGAUACUGGAUGGCUUGAAUUCGGGAGAGGGAUGCAGAAUUCCAGGUGUAGCGGUGAAAUGCGUAGAUAUCUGGAGGAAUACCGGUGGCGAAGGCGGCCUUCUGGACAGUGACUGACGCUGAGACGCGAAAGCGUGGGGAGCAAACAGG